AGUGAACGCUGGCGGUAGGCCUAACACAUGCAAGUCGAACGGCAGCACAGUAAGAGCUUGCUCUUACGGGUGGCGAGUGGCGGACGGGUGAGGAAUACAUCGGAAUCUACUUUUUCGUGGGGGAUAACGUAGGGAAACUUACGCUAAUACCGCAUACGACCUACGGGUGAAAGCAGGGGAUCUUCGGACCUUGCGCGAUUGAAUGAGCCGAUGUCGGAUUAGCUAGUUGGCGGGGUAAAGGCCCACCAAGGCGACGAUCCGUAGCUGGUCUGAGAGGAUGAACAGCCACACUGGAACUGAGACACGGUCCAGACUCCUACGGGAGGCAGAAGUGGGGAAUAUUGGACAAAGGGCGCAAGCCUGAUCCAGCCAUACCGCGUGGGUGAAGAAGGCCUUCGGGUUGUAAAGCCCUUUUGUUGGGAAAGAAAAGCAGCAGGUUAAUACCCCGCUGUUCUGACGGUACCCAAAGAAUAAGCACCGGCUAACUUCGUG
rnacentral:rRNA from 1 species